AGAGGGCGACCGGCCACACUGGGACUGAGACACGGCCCAGACUCCUACGGGAGGCAGCAGUGGGGAAUAUUGCACAAUGGGCGCAAGCCUGAUGCAGCGACGCCGCGUGAGGGAUGACGGCCUUCGGGUUGUAAACCUCUUUCAGCAGGGAAGAAGCGAAAGUGACGGUACCUGCAGAAGAAGCGCCGGCUAACUACGUGCCAGCAGCCGCGGUAAUACGUAGGGCGCAAGCGUUGUCCGGAAUUAUUGGGCGUAAAGAGCUCGUAGGCGGUUUGUCGCGUCUGCUGUGAAAACCUGAGGCUCAACCUCGGGCUUGCAGUGGGUACGGGCAGACUAGAGUGCGGUAGGGGUGACUGGAAUUCCUGGUGUAGCGGUGGAAUGCGCAGAUAUCAGGAGGAACACCGAUGGCGAAGGCAGGUCACUGGGCCGCAACUGACGCUGAGGAGCGAAAGCAUGGGGAGCGAACAGGAUUAGAUACCCUGGUAGUCCAUGCCGUAAACGUUGGGCACUAGGUGUGGGGCUCAUUCCACGAGUUCCGUGCCGCAGCAAACGCAUUAAGUGCCCCGCCUGGGGAGUACGGCCGCAAGGCUAAAACUCAAAGAAAUUGACGGGGGCCCGCACAAGCGGCGGAGCAUGCGGAUUAAUUCGAUGCAACGCGAAGAACCUUACCAAGGCUUGACAUACACCGGAAACUUCCAGAGAUGGUUGCCCCGCAAGGUCGGUGUACAGGUGGUGCAUGGUUGUCGUCAGCUCGUGUCGUGAGAUGUUGGGUUAAGUCCCGCAACGAGCGCAACCCUCGUCCUAUGUUGCCAGCGGGUUAUGCCGGGGACUCAUAGGAGACUGCCGGGGUCAACUCGGAGGAAGGUGGGGAUGACGUCAAAUCAUCAUGCCCCUUAUGUCUUGGGCUUCACGCAUGCUACAAUGGCCGGUACAAAGGGCUGCGAUACCGCGAGGUGGAGCGAAUCCCAAAAAGCCGGUCUCAGUUCGGAUUGGGGUCUGCAACUCGACCCCAUGAAGUCGGAGUCGCUAGUAAUCGCAGAUCAGCAGCGCUGCGGUGAAUACGUUCCCGGGCCUUGUACACACCGCCCGUCAAGUCACGAAAGUCGGUAACACCCGAAGCCGGUGGCCCAACCCUUGUGGAGGGAGCUGUCGAAGGUGGGACUGGCGAUUGGGACUAAGUCGUAACAAGGUAGCCGUACCGGAAGGUGCGGCUG
rnacentral:rRNA from 1 species